AAAAAAAGAAGUAUUAUUUACCUAAAAUCUGAAAUCCACAACAGAAGCUAGCCAGAAGUUAGCCAGUUCACUAGCUAACGUUAGAAUUCAGCUAACCACGGUUGGCGGUCAUCAGCUAUCCCUUAGCUCGAAAAGCUAUCGGCAGUUUUGUACAACGCGACUCAGACCAGAGCAUACCGGACCUAUUUUCUCUCCAUAUCCCCGGAUUUGUACCGCAAGCUCUGGACAUUUACACCUGAAUCUUGCAGCUAGCUAGCUGCUAUCCAAGUGACUAUUGGCUAACGUCGGUCCUGGAGCUAACAUCUAUUAUUCCGGAGCUAGCCAGCUGAAGAGUUCCAUCAGCCACUCCUGGGCUACAAUCACCUAUCCGGACCCGUUUUACUACCGAUGCGGAGCCCCAUCGGGCCUUCACGACUGGACAACCAACGUUAUCUGCCCGAGGGAGUUAUCCAACUGGCCCCUCCGUCGCGACGUAAACCUGAACGCCCAUCUGCGGCCAGCUAAUCGUUAGCUGUUGUAUCGGCUGCUAUCUGAAUAGGUCUAUCGGCCAAUUUUCUUGGGCCACUAUAACUAUUUUGCCAAUUGGAUUGGUCCCCUCUACCACACGGAACCCUACUAAUCUACCGACGGAAACACACGAGGUGUCUAAUAACAGACCAUCUUCUAUCAGCUUGCUACCCAUGGCCCGGCUAGCUGUCUGAAUCGCCGUGUCCGCAACCGACCUCACUACUCACUGGACCCCUUUGAUCACUUGGCUAAGCAUGCCUCUCCUUAAUGUCAAUAUGCCUUGUCCAUUGCUGUUCUGCACACUCUGCCAACCCGGAUGUCCUAGCCGUGUCUGAAUCCUGGCUUAGGAAGACCACCAAAAGCUCUGAAAUCUCCAUCCCUAACUACAAUAUUUUCAGACAAGAUAGAACGGCCAAAGGGGGCGGUGUUGCAAUCUACUGCAGAGAUAGCCUGCAGAGUUCUGUCCUACUAUCCAGAAAGUUUCCACCUCUGAAUAUUCCACAAAAUGUGCAACCCUACUCAACACAAAGCUCAAGGGCCUGGGACUGAACUCUGAACUCCCUAUGCAACUGGGUCCUGGACUUCCUGAUGGGCCACCCCCAGGUGGUGAAGGUAGGCAACAUUAACUCCUCCACAGUGAACCUCAACAUGGAGGCCCCACAACGUUGUUUCCUCAGUCCCCUCCUGUUCACCCACAACUGCAUGGCUUCACACAGUUCCAACUCCAUCAUCAAGUUCCCUGAAGACACGACAGUAGCACCAUUGAGAGCAUACUGACGGGCUGCAUCACAGCCUGAUAGGGCAGCUCCACCGCUACUGAACAUUUGUAAACAUGAGUAUAUUUUAUUAUUAUUAUUAUUGUAUUAUUGUUUCAUUCACACUUGCACUCUUAAAGCUUAAGUAUUUCACUGUACACUGCAACUACAUCUGCGACCC
rnacentral:lncRNA from 1 species